GGUACUUUUGGUUCCAACUGUAGUGAAGGUUGUCCCCAAGGAUACUUUGGAAUGUUGUGUUGAGAAAAAUGUUCUUGCAAGGACGAUAUUUGUGACAGAGUAGUUGGUUGUCCAUCAAUAAAAGAUUGGUCUGUUUCAUCUUCCCUUACUUCAACAUCAGUCAAGGAAAUUUUGUCGACUGGUAUGAUAUCAUCCUCAUAUUGGAAAAAUACACUUUUCACAGUGAUGGGGUCUGUUGGAACACUUUGUGUUGUUAUAAUGAUGUACUUUGUUAAAAAAUGGUACAACAGAAUAAAAACCCGAGAUGCUGGCAGCCGC